CAGACACUCUGUCAGUGCCUCGCUGGUCCCCACAGAUCCCUCGGAGAGACCUGGGAAACUCCAUAAAACACAGGUUUUCCACCAAGUACUGGAUGUCUCAGACAUGCAUAGUGUGUGGAAAAGGAAUGUUGUUUGGACUUAAAUGUAAAAACUGCAAGCUGAAGUGCCACAACAAAUGUACCAAAGAAGCCCCACCUUGCCAUUUACUGAUCAUCCAAAGAGGAGGAGGAAGUAACC